GUACAUAUUUACAAAAUGUGGUCUGUUUGCACCCACAUCUUAUUUUUCAGAAAAUAAUUUGUGGAUCAGAUUGCUCUGAGCGCUUCUGUUGUUUACCAAGAAAAUGCACCCCUGUUGGUUAUUAUUUCUGUAUCGCAAAGCGGUGAGUUUCUAUUUCUUGGUAAUUCGGUUUGUAAAAUGACUAUUAAUUACAAGCACAGCAUCAUCAACGGUGAUUGCAAGAACUACUGCAAUCCCUGCGGUUUUUCCUCUUGGUAAAUGCACAUAGAGGUUGUAAAGUUUUUGGAAUCGAUGAACUUACUCGAAGAAGACGAUGGUCGAAAACAUAUGAUGAAACAUCUUCUGGCGUGCCUUUGACAAUCGUUAAGUUAGACGGAGGCUUCACAUACGAUAUUUCACACAUGGAUGGAAUUCGUUAGCGGACAGAGCACACAUUUACAAAAUAUUUAUCGUUCUGCAGAACAUGCAUGCAUAUUCGACUCCGAUUUUAUGGGUCGAUUACGGAGGACAACCGAACUUCAGUGGGUUGGCCAGUGGCUGAAAUGGUAUUACCGAUGGCAACUAGCAACUGAAAGCUGAUGUUGGAGAAUCGGGGCAGCACAGCCCUAUACCUACCCUAUGCUCUUACGUGCAUAUGCUAAAUUUCUCGUACCUAGCUAAAGUGCUUGACAAAGGCAGAAGGCUUAUCUUCAACAUUAUAACUUAAAGUAAAAGAGUUAAAGAUAUGCAAUAAAAGAAUACAACAGAACCAAAAAAUCUCAAAACUAUUAAA